GUUGUUUGAUUUUCAAUUUUUUAUAAUCUCCGUGGAGUACUCUGCAAUUAUCAUAAUAAGCUAGCAUCCUCUAUAUGUAGCUGCUGCAAGCUUCAGAAGCUGAGCACGUCUGCAUCAAUGACAGCUAAAGAAACCAACGAAGCAACAGAAGUUGCCACUAGAAAUGUUGCUGUCAUUUUUGGGGUUACUGGGCUUGUUGGGAGAGAGCUACUGAGACGUCUGCUCUCAAAAUCCAAAUGGAAAGUUUAUGGUAUAGCUAGAAGGUUUGAGAGCUUUCCUAUACAAAAUUCCGACUAUCAUUUCAUUUCAUGCGACUUGCUAAACGCUCAAGAAACCCAAAAGAAGCUCUCUAUCGUGCGAGAUGUGAGUCAUGUGUUUUGGAUCACUUGGGCAGGCCAAUUUCCUCUAGAUAGCAGGGAAUGUUGCGAGCAGAAUCUGGCUAUGAUGUCCAACGCCUUGAAUGCUAUCCUCUCUAAAACUAAGACAUUGAAGCAUGUUUCGCUCCAGACGGGAAUGAAGCACUAUGUGUCACUACAACACAAUCAGAAUGCGAAACAAGAAGUUUGCUUCUAUGAUGAGGAUUGUCCAAGAGCGAGUGAAGGUUAUAACUUCUACUAUGUCCUUGAGGACUUGCUCAAGGAGAGACUAGCUGGUAAGGUGGCUUUUUCUGUGGUAAGGCCUGGCUUGUUAAUGGGUAGUUCCAAUAGGACUUUAUACAAUGUCAUGGGUUGUUUGUGCGUUUAUGGAGCUAUUUGCAAAUAUUUAAACCUCCCUUUUGUUUUCGGGGGAACGAGGGAGUUCUGGGAGGAAGCGUGCAUGGAUGGGUCGGAUGCUGGGUUAGUAGCUGAACAGCACAUUUGGGCAGCUACCAAUGAUGAAAUAUCUUCCCCGGAUGGUCAGGCAUUCAAUGCCAUCAAUGGCUCAAGUUUUACCUGGAAGGAGAUCUGGCCAGUUCUUGGAAAGAAAUUUGAUGUGGAAGUGCCUCAAGAAAUGUUCUUGAAGGACUUCAGAUAUGCAACGGCAAUGAGUGACAAGAGGAAAGUAUGGC
rnacentral:misc_RNA from 1 species